AUUGAACGCUGGCGGCAGGCCUAACACAUGCAAGUCGAGCGGUAGAGAGAAGCUUGCUUCUCUUGAGAGCGGCGGACGGGUGAGUAAUGCCUAGGAAUCUGCCUAGUGGUGGGGGAUAACGUUCGGAAACGGACGCUAAUACCGCAUACGUCCUACGGGAGAAAGCGGGGGACCUUCGGGCCUCGCGCCAUUAGAUGAGCCUAGGUCGGAUUAGCUAGUUGGUGAGGUAAUGGCUCACCAAGGCUACGAUCCGUAACUGGUCUGAGAGGAUGAUCAGUCACACUGGAACUGAGACACGGUCCAGACUCCUACGGGAGGCAGCAGUGGGGAAUAUUGGACAAUGGGCGAAAGCCUGAUCCAGCCAUGCCGCGUGUGUGAAGAAGGUCUUCGGAUUGUAAAGCACUUUAAGUUGGGAGGAAGGGUGGUAACUUAAUACGUUGCUACUUUGACGUUACCGACAGAAUAAGCACCGGCUAACUUCGUGCCAGCAGCCGCGGUAAUACGAAGGGUGCAAGCGUUAAUCGGAAUUACUGGGCGUAAAGCGCGCGUAGGUGGUUCAGUAAGUUGGAAGUGAAAUCCCCGGGCUCAACCUGGGAACUGCUUUCAAAACUGCUGAGCUAGAGUACGGUAGAGGGUAGUGGAAUUUCCUGUGUAGCGGUGAAAUGCGUAGAUAUAGGAAGGAACACCAGUGGCGAAGGCGACUACCUGGACUGAUACUGACACUGAGGUGCGAAAGCGUGGGGAGCAAACAGGAUUAGAUACCCUGGUAGUCCACGCCGU
rnacentral:rRNA from 1 species